AACCAUAGAAACCUGCGGAGUACCUGCGGAAGGAUCAUUAAAAAAACUUUGCCCGCGGACCCUGGGUCCAAGGCGCAAAACCCACACUAUGUGCACUGUUAUCGUUCUUUUGGCAGGGGCUUGGGGUAUCUUCCAACUUGGGAAACCUCAACUUCUCGUCUAGCUCUAUCCACCUCGGACAGCUGGACAUGAGAAGCAGUUACUCUGCCAAGUGACCCUUAAAAACACGCUUUUUUGUCU
rnacentral:misc_RNA from 1 species